GAGGGUAUAGCUCAGUCUUAGAGUAUUUGCUUGGCAUGCAGGAGGUCCUAGGUUCAAUCCCCAGUACCUCCA
rnacentral:tRNA from 1 species